ensembl:lncRNA
CUCUUUUCCUUUUCUCUUCUCUGCGGAGAUGCUGAGCAGAUGCGAUGUAGACCCCAACGGAGUAAGAGGCCCGGGACCUUAUGUCCAGUAAGAUAAAGCCACGUGGAAAUACUUACAUUAUUAGAAUUGGGUUAAUAAUCAAGACUUAGCUAGCAAAUAAGAAACCUUAGCUAAAGGCCAACAGUAUUUGUAACUAAUAUAGCAUCUGCAUGUUUUCUUUUGGCCAGAGAAGGGCAGCGGGACCUAGCUGGGCCAGAGAAAACCUCAUGUUACACACAAUAACACUAAAAGCCAUGUUGUGUUUUCAGGAACUUUAGUGCAAGAGUAACAGGUGAACAACAAACAUGAAAUCACAGCACUGCCCACAGCACUACCCUGAGCCAUAGGAACAACUGUGCACACUUCCUUCAUUUCUGGUGGUCACGAUUGUAUUUAAGUCAUUUGUUGUAACUGUCCAUUUCAAAUCCUGAGUACUGUGACGGCAGGACCACACCAUGGCAACAUCUUGAGGUCAACUCUGGGCCCCCUACACCGGGAUAAGUAAACAAAAGCCUUCCAGCCCUCUUCCCCUACAGUGCUUCCGCCCAGCAAUUUCUGUGAGUCCCAGUAUUCCUUGGAACUUGGCAGCCUUAUUCUUGGAGCUGUGAUAUGUUGAGAACCCUAACAGAAGCAUGGAUACAUCAUUGGAAGUAUAAAAUACAGGAGAAAAGUUCAUUGGAAGAACGAUACACGAUCUUCUCUCCCCCUCAGUGAAGGGUGUCACACGGCAUUCUGGCCACAGCCCUCUCCCCUGUGUUCCAGUCAACAAAGUGGUUUGUCCAAAGAAGAGGACUCAGCAGUCAAAAUUAGUCAUGUGACCUGCCUCCUCCCAACUACACAAGCUAGAGUGGUCCUAACCAUACUCUUUCAAUGACAAAGAAUUGGAAUGAAGAGACCUGGGAUGACUAACAAGAAGGGGAUCAGCCUCUUAGAAGUUGCUUUUAUCAAGAAGUCAAUGACCGCUCACUGAGGUCCACAAACAAUUAAAAGCUGGGUGAAAGCCUGGAAUAUCUACUUCAGUUUGCUCCCUUUGGCCACCACCAUCCCUCUUCAAGUGGGCAUGGCGACCACUUAGGGAGCCCCUGUGGAGGCACUGGAGAUAGCCAGCCUAUUUCAUUCUGCUUCAGGGUUGAUGGCAUGAAGAACCAAUGUUCUCAAACAGCAUUUCCAAAAAUUGGCUAAACACAUUAUGGGGACAGUGGAAAACAUGAAGCAUGCUUUUGGACUUUAUGCGUAAGAAUUUGAAAACAGAUAUAUCAAAAUGUCUGGAAAAAUGAUAUUUUGAUAUAUUUCUCACUCUUAUGUCUUCAGUCGACAUAAAUAAGCCACCUGCCAGUUUUCAAUAGAAUUUGUAGAGCUGCAAACUGGCAUCCAAGUUAAAGAAUUUGCUCAUGUCCCUUUACUAAUUUUUCAUAGGUCCUGUCUUCCCCAGAGCAACGGCCUUGACUUAACAAUCAUUAUGUGUGUUUUCACUUAACGAGCAUUUGUGGGUGACUAUUUUCAAGAACGAAGCACACCAAAAGCCAAGUUAGAGUCAAAGUAGUGAGUGCCUGGGGAAUCCGCUGAGAACUGCAAUUACUUGCAAUUACACACAGCAGCCGUGGUGGUAGAGGUGUUUCUGUUGAACAUACACAGGACAUCCAUGUCCUGCUCUGUUUCUCUCUGCCUUACUCCUUUGAAACAGGUUCUUUCCCUGCACCUGGAGCUAGGUGCCAGCAAGCCCCAGCAAUUCUGUCUUUGCCUCCACACAGCACUGAAAUUGCACAGCCAUGCCUGGCUGUUUAUAUGUCAUCCGGAUUUGAAUUCAUGUCCUUAUGCUUGCACAAGCAAGCACUCUUCCUCAGUGAGUCCUCUCCAUGGCCCUCAAACUUGAUACUGAUCCAUCAGUUCUCAAAUAGAAUGCCAAUUUCGCUAUGUUGCCUUCUUUUUCCUUGCUUUUAUAGAAGUAUUUUUAAAAAUCAAUUCCGUUUCAUCACUUAGAUAUGCUCAUCUUCUUUAUUAGUGACUACAAACUUGAGACCUGCUCAGUGAUUUGAAAAGAGUCUCCAAAUGAGGCACUCAUGGAGCCAAAGUGAGCCAAUCCACAACAGCUUCACUUUCCAGAGACAACCUGGGCAUCGAUCCUCCUGUGGCCUCUUCUAGGUUUCUCAACAUCUACCUUGCCGUCCUAAUCUUAUCUCCUUCCCAUGAUUUGCCUCCCACCCACUAUCCAUCCUGGCUUUACUCCAUCUAGGACACAAAUCUAGAGUUCUGACGUCUAAUAACCUAUGUUCAUCUCCUCAAUGGAGAGGAAGUUCUUUGAUGUCAGGGAUAUAUAUUUUUUCAUGUUUGUAUUCCUAGAGCCCAGAAGUGUACCUAAGAUAUAGCAUUAUGUACUCAAUGCUCUCAAAAGAGGGGGGUGAGUAUAGGACACACACAUAAGUGUCAGGGACAUUAACUGUUAACCUUGCGAUCCUCCUCCGGUGUGCUCCACAAUGCUCACAGUGUUACGGAAAAGGAAGUUCUGCACACAGAAGCUCUGCGUCAACCCAGGCUGAAGCGCUUCUGUUUCUUUAUUCUAGGCAGGGCCUGUAAGGACUCAGGCAUUAUGCUGGCCUGCCCCUGUCUCCUGACAGAAUGCACUCGGGCAGUACCCUGGUCAGCCCAGGGUUCCAUGAGUCCUAGUCUGCAGAGAUGCAAAGGACCCUUUUAAAAGACAGACCCCCACCCACUUCUGUUCUCUUUCCUACUUCUCUCUUUCCUGCUGUUCCCCUGGGGCAGACAGGACUUUUCCUGUCUCCCUCUUCUCUUCUGUCCCCUCUCUGUGUCUCUUUUUACACACACACACACACACACACACACACACACACACACACACACACACACCGUCUACAUGAGGCACACUGUCAGCAAAAAAAAAAAGCAGCAAAAGCAAGAAUAUGACAAACAGCUGAAGCAUGAGCAAUUAAUACCGUCUGAAUGUGGAAAACAAAGCUUAAUUUAGAAAAGAAAAAAAAACGAAUACAAACAAAAUGCUGGAUGGCUGUUUGCCUGUCCAGUGUGACCAUCAGCAGCAACAGGACAUUCGAAGCAUCACCACAGCCUUUCUGAUAUGAGGGGCCAGGGCCUGGGCUGGAAGCACAGGGUGACAUCGGGCUGCCUCACCUGGCUCCCCUACUUUUCCGGUGGACUUUCCACGCUUACGCUCACCGCCUGGACCCCAGAUGGCUGCCAGAAGCUUCAAGUACCUUUCCUCUCAUUCUGGCAUCACAAAUGAUAAAGAAACAGCACAGUACCCUGCCCAAAGGCCUAAGGGGUGCAUUUAGAGCUCGGUUUUAGCAGAGUAAAACCUCUUUCCCAGAACCCCUUGGCAUCCUCCUUCCAGUUCACUGGCAGACCAUGUCACAUCACCCCCUGCUAGCAAGCUAACUGGGACAAUACUAUGAAGCCGGGGGAAAUGGGGUUUCAUAUCUGACCUAGAUUUAGAACCACUUACUGAUUGAUGCUUGAGGAGGUGCCAGUCUUCUCCGAAGCAAUUAGAUGAUUCUUUAAUAUGCGAUCUGUUUUUACCAUGUCUGUUUUUGUAAUUUUUCCCAAUUUUCAAUGGCUUUGGUCAGCAGCUAUUUUCCAGUGAGCUUUCAUUUUUAUAAUGAAGCCUAGUUUUAAUUGGUGUUAGCUUUUUGUACUAUUUAUAUAAAAUCAUAUCUGCCCCCUCAGCCUAUCACAAUAUCCUCAAUUACAACAGCAAAACUAAAAAAAAAAAAUCACAGUUCUGUCUUAAAGGAAAGGAGGCUUUUGGGGAGGAGACAAGAAAUGAACCCACAAAGAAUGGAGUGCUUGCCUUAUCCGAGUUUUAAACCAUGCGUGGAAGUACAGGCUUGUGAUUCCAACACUUGGGAGGCACCACAGGAGGAUCUGGAACUUAAAGCCAUCUUUAUCGUCCACUACACCAUGAAUUGGAGGCCAGCCUGGGCUACACUAAGACCAUUUUCAAAAUAGAAGUAACUGCCUAAAUUUAGAGAUUACUGGCUAAGAGUAGGUUGAGGUGUCUGCUUCGGUCUCAGGACUUGAGGGUACUGCUAUGGGUUGCUUCUCCCUUCACAGUCAUCUUUCCUUUUGCUACUCAUCAUCUCUGUGUGAAAACCACAGUGGUUUUCCUGUAUAUUUUUCUUUUUAUUCUUUAAUCCUUCUGAUGGGGAAUGUACUGUGUAUGUUUAUCUUAUUGUUAAAUAAAAUACUGUUUGGCCAAUGGCAAGCAAGGACUAGGAGUCAAAGAGGAUUCUGGGAAAUGUAGUAGAGAAGUGAUGAUCCAGGCAGGAAGUGACAUGGCAAGGAGACUCAUAUCUAAGCGAGGAAACAAGAAGUAUGACUCUUUUCCCCCUCUGCUCCUGCUCCAGCGGCACAAUGUGAUCCACCGGCAAGGAGGGACGCCAAUAAGGUGUCUGAUAAGUCUUAUAAAAUAUAUAGGUUUAUGAUAAUUAAGACUGAGCUAACAGAUGAGAAUCCUAAUCAUUGGCCAAGCAGCAUUGUACCUAAUACAAGUUUUGUGUAUUCAUUUGGGCCCUAACUCAGGCUGUCGGCUGGCGUAAAGCUCACACGUGGCGGUGGGGCUCCGGCAGCUUUUGGCAGAAAGAUUUAUUGUAACAUCCUUGUACCGGUUAGAAUUGGAGUUUGUGGAAGAAAGGAAGAAAAAGACCCAAACUACAAUGGCUUCAAUUAAGCAACAGUGUUUUCUAUCGGUCAAAGAACUAGGGCAGAUUGAUUAAAGUUCAUAGGUGGCCCUACCCAAAAAGUCCUUGGGAGCAUUUUAAUGUCUUAUGAAGCAUUGCCUAAUUACACAAUUAAAAAUGACAAUUAGAAUCUUAAAAAGCCAAAAACAAUGUUUUCAGCACCCAGGCUCUUGUUUUCAUACAAGCCUGAAGUUUGAAUUACCAAAAUGGCUACUGUAGAAGCAGCCAACCAACACCUCCCAGUCAAGUGGAGGAUUGGAUGUGUUUCCCAAACAGCUGUGGCUUCCAGCCAUAUCAUAUUUUUAUAUUUGCACUUACAGCCAUGCCCUAGGGCUCAGUACUAAGCUGAGAGGCUGACAAAAUAUCCUUCUACUAGGUGCCCACACACCCAGCUAAAAUGAGGACACAUUUUAUUACUUAAAAUAUUGUUUCCAUUUCUAUGGGGAAAGAAAGAGAUUUGAUGUUGGGGGGGGGGGCUGUCAGCAGUCCACAUCCUCUGUUCCUGUAUUGGAUUUUGUCCAGCAGAGACACACAAAAGUUUCUUCCGAUUUUUCAGUCUGAUCCACAUGAUCUCAUUGGUGUCUAGGAAAAGAUUUCACAGACCUGAUAGAAUAGGAAAAAUGGUCAUCAGUGAAGUUCACAUCAAAAGCUAGGCUAUAUUUCUUUAAUUCUGCCAAGCCUUAGGAACAAACUUGUCCUUGCACCAGGACUAAAAAGUUAUAAACACAAGUUGAAAACUGAACACCCAAGGACUUCAAGAAGCUGACUCCUGUUGUGCUGACUCUGUGUGGUAUUAAUCUACUGCAAAUAAAUAUAAUCAUUUAAAUAAAAUUAUGCAAAUAGCAAUUAUUUUCACCAGCUUGAGUAUUUUCUUGAGAAAAUUUCAAUAUGCAAAUUUUACACCGCAGUCAAUUUUAUAAUAUACUUAGUGGCUUUUUAAAAACCUUUUCUACUCUACUAAAAGUGUUUUUCAAGAAUCAGUUGCAGUUUCCUGCAUGCAAAUUUUACACUCAAGUUAUAAUUUAGUAUUAUUCUUUCACUUCAUAACAGGUUGUAGCCAUUAGGAUAUUUGAGUUUUAAGAAACUAGCGUGGCUUUUGUUUCUACUUGAACUUUGUACUACAUUUUUGUCAAUAUUGGAUUUUUUUUUUGAUUUUUCGAGACAGGGUUUCUCUGUGGCUUUUAGAGGCUGCCCUGGAAGUAGCUCUUGUAGACCAGGCUGGUCUCGAACUCACAGAGAUCCACCUGCUUCUCCUCCUGAGUGCUGGGACUAAAGGUGUGCGCCAC